rnacentral:ncRNA from 1 species
AAUUAAAAUUUAAUGACUCAUAUAAUCGCAGGGAUAUGGCCUGCAAGUUUCUACCGAUCCUCCGUAAACGGAUUGACUAUGAGAAGCAUAG